rnacentral:rRNA from 1 species
UACGGAGGGAGCUAGCGUUGUUCGGAAUUACUGGGCGUAAAGCGCACGUAGGCGGCUUUGUAAGUUAGAGGUGAAAGCCCGGGGCUCAACUCCGGAACUGCCUUUAAGACUGCAUCGCUUGAAUCCAGGAGAGGUGAGUGGAAUUCCGAGUGUAGAGGUGAAAUUCGUAGAUAUUCGGAAGAACACCAGUGGCGAAGGCGGCUCACUGGACUGGUAUUGACGCUGAGGUGCGAAAGCGUGGGGAGCAAACAGGAUUAGAAACCCCCGUAGUCC